GGCGGCGGGUGUGCGCGGCCGCGCGGGCCUCCGCCCGGGUCGCCGCCGCCCUGCGGGCUCCGGGGUCCGCGGGGAGCCAUCCGAGACUGGCAGCCGGCGGAGGAGGGGCAACGACGGCUUCCAGGUUCUGUCCGGCUGCUUUGGUUCUGACGGAGGCAAAGCCCGCUUACUUUCCCUAGGACUCCGCUGCUGCACCCCGUCCCGCUAAGCCUUCAGAGCCUGGGCGUGGAACCGCAGAGCCUCGAAGUGACUACUCUCUUUCCAAGACACACACUACCUCUAAGUAACAGUAAGACAACAGGAUAGAGGAGGUUACAGCAGAAUAAAAUUUGGAAGUAACUUGUGGGACGCUAAGAGUGAUGUGGUGGCCUCUCAAGAACAAAGAGGCUUUUUGUGUACUUACACCCCAUCUGAAGAGGCAUUCUCCUGGCCCAGCCACCUGCAGCCCCAGGACGUGACCUCGUACCUGUAGCCACCUUCACCUCCUGGCAGAAUUCAACAAUCCCAUGGUCCCUGCUGAUUCAGAGACUAAUCUGUAGAUCACCUUAACCCCUGGCAAGUAUCACAUUGUAUUGUGUGAUUUCUCUGCCUCUCAGUCUCACUGUGGACUCCAGGCAAGCUUCAAGUCAUGGCAGUUCUGCUUGAGCCUCCUACGCGCCCCACAUGUAGCAGAGAAUGUCCUCUGAAGCUAUUGUUCUCUCCUUUCCACAACCACUUCAAAGAGUUCGCUUUAACACAGCAAACAAACCUUUUC